GACAAACAGGUUCAUCAAAUUGCAAGGAACUUUAGAGAUAGGAUACUCAGACCUCUCAGGAAAAGAAUUUGUAUUGAUAAAGAUGAUUGCCGUAUCAACACACAUUCCGGUUCACAGUACAAUAGGUGUUUAGCAUCACAAAAUCAAUGGUGCGAUUUGGGUUGUAAAACUUCAGAAGGAGCUGAUUAUACCUGCCAUUCAACAGUUGCAUCUGUUCAAGCAGAUGGUGGUGUGCUUGAUGGCUCCUCUGCUUCAUGUUCUG
rnacentral:misc_RNA from 1 species